rnacentral:rRNA from 1 species
GACAGAGGAUGCAAGCGUUAUCCGGAAUUAUUGGGCGUAAAGAGCUCGUAGGCGGUUUGUCGCGUCUGCCGUGAAAGUCCAGGGCUCAACCCUGGGAUGCGGGUGGAUACUGGCAGGCUAGAGUGCGGUAGAGGGUAGUGGAAUUCCCGGUGUAGCAGUGAAAUGCGCAGAUAUCGGGAAGAACACCCGUGGCGAAGGCGGCUCUCUGGGACGGUACUGACGCUGAGGUGCGAAAGCGUGGGGAGCAAACAGGG